rnacentral:lncRNA from 1 species
AUCACAAGUUAUCGUCAGGCGACUGGGGUUCAAAUGGAGAACGGGGUUCAUUAUUUUGGCAAACAAGAUGUCGGGGUUCAAAUGCAGUGAUUCGGGAUCAUUUGCGCGAAGAAAAUUUCGGGGUUCAAGAAAAAGAAAAAUUAUCAGUCGGAAAAUUUCGGGGUUCAAGAAAAGCAAAAAAAAAAGAAGAAGAAAUGAUAAUCCCCAGCAGAUGUGGUGUUCGGGCCAUGGUUA